ensembl:snoRNA
CCUCCCCUGAUGAGCAUCCUUCUGACUUUCGUUCUUCUGAGUCUGCUGAAGUCGCUGUUGAAAAACUGAGGAGG